rnacentral:ncRNA from 1 species
AAUAUUUCAUUGAUGUACUAAGUUAACUAUACCAAUUUAACUACAUAUGGUAGCUCACACGUAUUGUGCCUAUAGUCAGGAUAUAACACAACCUUAAACAGAUUUACUUAUAUCUUAACUUAUAACUUGCCAAUCAAGUUAAGGCUAGUCCCACAACACCAAUGUCCUAUAUUGGGACAGCUAGGAAACUAGGCCCCAGAAAACAAGUUAGCGGGGUGGCAUAAAUGGUGCCAGCAGUCGCGGUUAUACCAUUACCCCAAGUUAAUUCCCACAAAAAGGAGUAAACCAACUGACUAAUAGAUUAACUUUCUACGUAAAAAAUAAAUUACAACCAAACCCAACCCAGUCACCAUUCAAACAACUCCAACAAACCACAACCUCAAAACUCGGAUUAGAUACCCGACUAUUGUGUGGCCCAACCAAUAAAAGAACACUACAAGCGAAAGCUCAAACCUCAAACAAUGUGGCGGUGCUUAACUCCUCAUCAGGGGAUCCUGUAGCUUAAAUCGAUAAUCCACGAACACCCAAGCUUUUCUCGUACCCAACUUGUGUAUGGCCGUUUAUGCCUGCUCGAAAAAGAUUAAAAAGGAGGCAACUGGGCUUUCCCCCAAAUUCAGGUGACAUACAGCCAAUGAAAAGCUGACUUAUGGGAUACAAAUAAACACCCUAUCAAACUUAAGUCUCCAACUGCUUAAUGAAGGAGGACUUGAAAGUAAGACAUAUGCACAAAAAGCCAGUCUGAAUAAGAACUUAAGCGCGCACAAAUCGCCCGUCACUCCGGCAGUAAAGCCGGAUAAGUCGUAACAUAGUAGGGGUAAUGGAAAUUGCCCCUAUCCU